rnacentral:rRNA from 2 species
GGGUUGUGAGGUUAAGCGACUAAGCGUACACGGUGGAUGCCCUGGCAGUCAGAGGCGAUGAAGGGCGUGCUAAUCUGCGAUAAGCGCCGGUAAGGUGAUAUGAACCGUUAUAACCGGCGAUACCCGAAUGGGGAAACCCAGUGUGACUCGUCACACUAUCAUUAACUGAAUCCAUAGGUUAAUGAGGCGAACCGGGGGAACUGAAACAUCUAAGUACCCCGAGGAAAAGAAAUCAACCGAGAUUCCCCCAGUAGCGGCGAGCGAACGGGGAGGAGCCCAGAGCCUGAAUCAGCAUGUGUGUUAGUGGAAGCGUCUGGAAAGGCGCGCGAUACAGGGUGACAGCCCCGUACACAAAAGCGCAUGUGCUGUGAGCUCGAUGAGUAGGGCGGGACACGUGGUAUCCUGUCUGAAUAUGGGGGGACCAUCCUCCAAGGCUAAAUACUCCUGACUGACCGAUAGUGAACCAGUACCGUGAGGGAAAGGCGAAAAGAACCCCGGCGAGGGGAGUGAAAAAGAACCUGAAACCGUGUACGUACAAGCAGUGGGAGCACAGGUUUACCUGUGUGACUG